UACGUAGGGUGCAAGCGUUACUCGGAAUUACUGGGCGUAAAGCGUGCGCAGGCGGUUUUGUAAGUCAGAUGUGAAAUCCCCGGGCUCAACCUGGGAAUUGCAUUUGAGACUGCACGGCUAGAGUGUGUCAGAGGGGGGUAGAAUUCCCCGUGUAGCAGUGAAAUGCGUAGAUAUGCGGAGGAACACCGAUGGCGAAGGCAAUCCCCUGGGCCUGCACUGACGCUCAUGCACGAAAGCGUGGGGAGCAAACAGG
rnacentral:rRNA from 1 species